rnacentral:lncRNA from 1 species
AAUUACUCACAGGUGUGCUAUUGCAGUUGUAUGAUAAAGGAAAUAACUAAAUUUUAUGACUAUCCAAAACAUUCUUUGUGAUUUUUUACUAUCUAUAAUUUUUAAAAAUUGGCUCACAGUUUUGGAGGCUGGGAAGUCCAAUAUCAAGGUGCUGGCAUCUCAUUAGGGCCUUCUUGCUGUGUCAUCCCAUGGCAGAAGAGCAAAAGAGGGAUUUUGAAACUGCCUGGCAUGGUUCUGUAUUCCAUCCCAGAUAUCUUUAACAAAAGCUAACA